GCACCUUUAGCUCAGCUGGAUAGAGUACUCGGCUACGAACCGAGCGGUCGGAGGUUCGAAUCCUCCAAGGUGCACCA
rnacentral:tRNA from 2 species